UGUCUGUAUAGUUUAACCAAAACACUAGACUGUGAACCUAGAAACAGAAAUAAUUCUUGCAGACC
rnacentral:tRNA from 1 species